GACGAACGCUGGCGGCGUGCUUAACACAUGCAAGUCGAACGGAAAGGCCCUGCUUUUGUGGGGUGCUCGAGUGGCGAACGGGUGAGUAACACGUGAGUAACCUGCCCUUGACUUUGGGAUAACUUCAGGAAACUGGGGCUAAUACCGGAUAGGAGCUCCUGCUGCAUGGUGGGGGUUGGAAAGUUUCGGCGGUUGGGGAUGGACUCGCGGCUUAUCAGCUUGUUGGUGGGGUAGUGGCUUACCAAGGCCUUGACGGGUAGCCGGCCUGAGAGGGUGACCGGCCACAUUGGGACUGAGGUACGGCCCAGACUCCUACGGGAGGCAGCAGUGGGGAAUAUUGCACAGUGGGCGGAAGCCUGAUGCAGCAACGCCGCGUGCGGGAUGACGGCCUUCGGGUUGUAAACCGCUUUCGCCUGUGACGAAGCGUGAGUGACGGUAAUGGGUAAAGAAGCACCGGCUAACUACGUG
rnacentral:rRNA from 1 species